CAGGAUGAACGCUAGCUACAGGCUUAACACAUGCAAGUCGAGGGGCAUCAGGAAGAAAGCUUGCUUUCUUUGCUGGCGACCGGCGCACGGGUGAGUAACACGUGUCCAACCUGCCCUUUACUCGGGGAUAGCCUUUCGAAAGAAAGAUUAAUACCCGAUAGCAUAAUGAUUCCGCAUGGUUUCAUUAUUAAAGGAUUCCGGUAAAGGAUGGGGAUGCGUUCCAUUAGGUUGUUGGUGAGGUAACGGCCCACCAAGCCUUCGAUGGAUAGGGGUUCUGAGAGGAAGGUCCCCCACAUUGGAACUGAGACACGGUCCAAACUCCUACGGGAGGCAGCAGUGAGGAAUAUUGGUCAAUGGGCGCUAGCCUGAACCAGCCAAGUAGCGUGAAGGAUGAAGGCUCUAUGGGUCGUAAACUUCUUUUAUAUAAGAAUAAAGUGCAGUAUGUAUACUGUUUUGUAUGUAUUAUAUGAAUAAGGAUCGGCUAACUCCGUGCCAGCAGCCGCGGUAAUACGGAGGAUCCGAGCGUUAUCCGGAUUUAUUGGGUUUAAGGGGAGCGUAGGUGGACUGGUAAGUCAGUUGUGAAAGUUUGCGGCUCAACCGUAAAAUUGCAGUUGAUACUGUCAGUCUUGAGUACAGUAGAGGUGGGCGGAAUUCGUGGUGUAGCGGUGAAAUGCUUAGAUAUCACGAAGAACUCCGAUUGCGAAGGCAGCUCACUGGACUGCAACUGACACUGAUGCUCGAAAGUGUGGGUAUCAAACAGGAUUAGAUACCCUGGUAGUCCACACAGUAAACGAUGAAUACUCGCUGUUUGCGAUAUACAGUAAGCGGCCAAGCGAAAGCAUUAAGUAUUCCACCUGGGGAGUACGCCGGCAACGGUGAAACUCAAAGGAAUUGACGGGGGCCCGCACAAGCGGAGGAACAUGUGGUUUAAUUCGAUGAUACGCGAGGAACCUUACCCGGGCUUAAAUUGCAGUGGAAUGAUGUGGAAACAUGUCAGUGAGCAAUCACCGCUGUGAAGGUGCUGCAUGGUUGUCGUCAGCUCGUGCCGUGAGGUGUCGGCUUAAGUGCCAUAACGAGCGCAACCCUUAUCUUUAGUUACUAACAGGUUAUGCUGAGGACUCUAGAGAGACUGCCGUCGUAAGAUGUGAGGAAGGUGGGGAUGACGUCAAAUCAGCACGGCCCUUACGUCCGGGGCUACACACGUGUUACAAUGGGGGGUACAGAAGGCAGCUAGCGGGUGACCGUAUGCUAAUCCCAAAAUCCUCUCUCAGUUCGGAUCGAAGUCUGCAACCCGACUUCGUGAAGCUGGAUUCGCUAGUAAUCGCGCAUCAGCCACGGCGCGGUGAAUACGUUCCCGGGCCUUGUACACACCGCCCGUCAAGCCAUGGGAGCCGGGGGUACCUGAAGUACGUAACCGCAAGGAUCGUCCUAGGGUAAAAC
rnacentral:rRNA from 1 species